rnacentral:rRNA from 1 species
AGGUUAAGCGACUAAGCGUACACGGUGGAUGCCCUGGCAGUCAGAGGCGAUGAAGGGCGUGCUAAUCUGCGAUAAGCGCCGGUAAGGUGAUAUGAACCGUUAUAACCGGCGAUACCCGAAUGGGGAAACCCAGUGUGACUCGUCACACUAUCAUUAACUGAAUCCAUAGGUUAAUGAGGCGAACCGGGGGAACUGAAACAUCUAAGUACCCCGAGGAAAAGAAAUCAACCGAGAUUCCCCCAGUAGCGGCGAGCGAACGGGGAGGAGCCCAGAGCCUGAAUCAGCAUGUGUGUUAGUGGAAGCGUCUGGAAAGGCGCGCGAUACAGGGUGACAGCCCCGUACACAAAAGCGCAUGUGCUGUGAGCUCGAUGAGUAGGGCGGGACACGUGGUAUCCUGUCUGAAUAUGGGGGGACCAUCCUCCAAGGCUAAAUACUCCUGACUGACCGAUAGUGAACCAGUACCGUGAGGGAAAGGCGAAAAGAACCCCGGCGAGGGGAGUGAAAAAGAACCUGAAACCGUGUACGUACAAGCAGUGGGAGCCCCACCACCAAAGCAUUCUCUGGUGUUGAAGGCCCUGCAAAGCAGCAUCGCGGUGGCGGAGCGUCGUUUGCGACGCCCAACACACAAAACAAGCGGUGAAUGCUUUGGGGUGGGGUGACUGCGUACCUUUUGUAUAAUGGGUCAGCGACUUAUAUUCUGUAGCAAGGUUAACCGAAUAGGGGAGCCGGAGGGAAACCGAGUCUUAAUUGGGCGUUAAGUUGCAGGGUAUAGACCCGAAACCCGGUGAUCUAGCCAUGGGCAGGUUGAAGGUUGGGUAACACUAACUGGAGGACCGAACCGACUAAUGUUGAAAAAUUAGCGGAUGACCUGUGGCUGGGGGUGAAAGGCCAAUCAAACCGGGAGAUAGCUGGUUCUCCCCGAAAGCUAUUUAGGUAGCGCCUCGUGAAUUCAUCUCCGGGGGUAGAGCACUGUUUCGGCUAGGGGGCCAUCCCGGCUUACCAACCCGAUGCAAACUGCGAAUACCGGAGAAUGUUAUCACGGGAGACACACGGCGGGUGCUAACGUCCGUCGUGAAGAGGGAAACAACCCAGACCGCCAGCUAAGGUCCCAAAGUCAUGGUUAAGUGGGAAACGAUGUGGGAAGGCCCAGACAGCCAGGAUGUUGGCUUAGAAGCAGCCAUCAUUUAAAGAAAGCGUAAUAGCUCACUGGUCGAGUCGGCCUGCGCGGAAGAUGUAACGGGGCUAAACCAUGCACCGAAGCUGCGGCAGCGACGCUGAUGCGUUGUUGGGUAGGGGAGCGUUCUGUAAGCCUGCGAAGGUGACCUGUGAGGGUUGCUGGAGGUAUCAGAAGUGCGAAUGCUGACAUAAGUAACGAUAAAGCGGGUGAAAAGCCCGCUCGCCGGAAGACCAAGGGUUCCUGUCCAACGUUAAUCGGGGCAGGGUGAGUCGACCCCUAAGGCGAGGCCGAAAGGCGUAGUCGAUGGGAAACGGGUUAAUAUUCCCGUACUUGGUGUUACUGCGAAGGGGGGACGGAGAAGGCUAUGUUGGCCGGGCGACGGUUGUCCCGGUUUAAGCGUGUAGGUGUGUGUUCCAGGUAAAUCCGGUUCACUUUAACACUGAGGCGUGAUGACGAGGCACUACGGUGCUGAAGCAACAAAUGCCCUGCUUCCAGGAAAAGCCUCUAAGCAUCAGGUAACAUCAAAUCGUACCCCAAACCGACACAGGUGGUCAGGUAGAGAAUACCAAGGCGCUUGAGAGAACUCGGGUGAAGGAACUAGGCAAAAUGGUGCCGUAACUUCGGGAGAAGGCACGCUGACACGUAGGUGAAGUGAUUUACUCACGGAGCUGAAGUCAGUCGAAGAUACCAGCUGGCUGCAACUGUUUAUUAAAAACACAGCACUGUGCAAACACGAAAGUGGACGUAUACGGUGUGACGCCUGCCCGGUGCCGGAAGGUUAAUUGAUGGGGUCAGCGCAAGCGAAGCUCCUGAUCGAAGCCCCGGUAAACGGCGGCCGUAACUAUAACGGUCCUAAGGUAGCGAAAUUCCUUGUCGGGUAAGUUCCGACCUGCACGAAUGGCGUAAUGAUGGCCAGGCUGUCUCCACCCGAGACUCAGUGAAAUUGAACUCGCUGUGAAGAUGCAGUGUACCCGCGGCAAGACGGAAAGACCCCGUGAACCUUUACUAUAGCUUGACACUGAACAUUGAGCCUUGAUGUGUAGGAUAGGUGGGAGGCUUUGAAGCGUGGACGCCAGUCUGCGUGGAGCCAACCUUGAAAUACCACCCUUUAAUGUUUGAUGUUCUAACGUGGACCCGUGAUCCGGGUUGCGGACAGUGUCUGGUGGGUAGUUUGACUGGGGCGGUCUCCUCCUAAAGAGUAACGGAGGAGCACGAAGGUUGGCUAAUCCUGGUCGGACAUCAGGAGGUUAGUGCAAUGGCAUAAGCCAGCUUGACUGCGAGCGUGACGGCGCGAGCAGGUGCGAAAGCAGGUCAUAGUGAUCCGGUGGUUCUGAAUGGAAGGGCCAUCGCUCAACGGAUAAAAGGUACUCCGGGGAUAACAGGCUGAUACCGCCCAAGAGUUCAUAUCGACGGCGGUGUUUGGCACCUCGAUGUCGGCUCAUCACAUCCUGGGGCUGAAGUAGGUCCCAAGGGUAUGGCUGUUCGCCAUUUAAAGUGGUACGCGAGCUGGGUUUAGAACGUCGUGAGACAGUUCGGUCCCUAUCUGCCGUGGGCGCUGGAGAACUGAGGGGGGCUGCUCCUAGUACGAGAGGACCGGAGUGGACGCAUCACUGGUGUUCGGGUUGUCAUGCCAAUGGCACUGCCCGGUAGCUAAAUGCGGAAGAGAUAAGUGCUGAAAGCAUCUAAGCACGAAACUUGCCCCGAGAUGAGUUCUCCCUGAGACUUAGAGUCUCCUGAAGGAACGUUGAAGACGACGACGUUGAUAGGCCGGGUGUGUAAGCGCAGCGAUGCGUUGAGCUAACCGGUACUAAUGAACCGUGAGGCUUAACCUUACAACGCCGA